UGUGUGAGCAACAUGGCUGUUUAUUUCACCUGGGUGCAGGCGGGCUGAGUCCAAAAAGAGAGUCAGCAAAGGGAGAUAGGGGUGGGGCCGUUUUAUAGGAUUUGGGUAGGUAAAGGAAAAUUAUAGUCAAAGGCGGUUUGUUCUCUGGUGGGCAGGAGUGGGAGUUGCAAGUGCUCAGUGGGGGUGCUUUCUGAGCCAGGAUGAGCCAGGAAAAGGACUUUCACAAGGUAAUGUCAUCACUUAAGGCAAGGACCGGCCAUUUACACUUCUUUUGUGGUGGAAUGUCAUCAGUUAAGGUGGGGCAGGGCAUAUUCACUUCUUUUGUGAUUCUUCAGUUACUUCAGGCCAUCUGGGCUUAUACGUGCAAGUCACAGGGGAUGCGAUGGCUUGGCUUGGGCUCAGAGGCCUGACAUUCCUGACUUCUUAUAUUAAUAAGAAAAAUAAAAUAGUGUUGAAGUGUUGGGGCAGUGAAAAUUUUUGGGGGGUGGUAUGUAGAGAGAAUGGGCGAUGUUUCUCAGGGCUGCUUCAAGCGGGAUUACGGGGCGGCGUGGGAACCUAGAGUGGGAGAGAUUAAGCUGAAGGGAGGUCUUGUGGUAAGGGGUGAUAUUGUGGGGAUGUUAGAAGAAAUAUUUGUCGUAUACAAUGAUUGGUGAUGGCCUUGAUAUGGUUUUGUAUGAAUUGAAAAACUUAAUGGAAUAACAGAAGGAGAAAAACAGGUAUAAAAUGUCUAAGAAUUGGGACGACUCAGGAUAUCUGAUUAGAGAGUGCCUAAGGAGAUUCAGCAUAGUCCUACCAGCAAAGAUUAUUUAUUUACUUCAAGAGUUAAGAGUGGCAGUUUGGGGAUAGCACCAGGAGAUAUCAGCUGUGAUGGCUUGGAGAAACAAUGUAAACUGGCAGUGUAAACAAGAGCAGGGCAUGUAUGAGUAGGUGAGAACGGUGAAUAGGAGUAUGACUAGACAGAAGAUAGUAGGGAUGACAAGUUUUUUUGGGGCACAGUCUAAGUUGGUCUGGUGUCUGGAAUGAGACUGGGGCCUAAUAAAAAGGAGCGUCUAUAUAGGAGCUUAAAUGGGCUGUACCUUGUAGCAUUCUGAGGACAGGUCUGACUUCUGAGAAGGGAAAGUGGUAAAAGUAUUGUCCAGUCCUUUUUAAGUUGGUGGCUGAGCUUGGUGAGGUGUGUUUUUAAAGACCUUUAGUCCAUUCUACUUUUCUUGAAGACGGAGGACCAUAAGGGAUAUAAAGGUUUCAGUGAACACUAAGAGCCUGAAAAACUGCUUGGCUGAUUUGACUAAUAAAGGCUUACCUGUUGUCAGACAGUAUAGAGGUGGGAAGGCUAAACUGAGGAAUUAUGUCUGACAGAAGGGAAGACAUGACUGUGGUGGCCUUCUCAGACCCUGUAGGAAAGGCCUCUACCUAUCCAGUGAAAGUGUCUACCUAGACUAAGAGGGAUUUUAGUUAUCUGACUCGGGGCAUGUUGAGUAAAGCUAAUUUGUCAGUCCUGGGUGGGAGCAAAUCCUCGAGCUUGAUGUGUAGGGUAGGGAGGGGGCCUGAAUAAUCCCUGAGGAGUAGUAGAAUAGCAGAUGGAACACUGAGAAGUUAUUUCCUUGAGGAUAGAUUUCCACGAUGGAAAGGAAAUGAGAGGUUCUAAGAGGCGGGCUAGUGGCUUGUGCUAUAGCAUAGCCUGCCUUUGCUGGUGUGUGGCGAUUAGGCCUGGUGGAACCGCCAUCAAUAAAUCAAGCGUGAUCAGGAUGAGGAACAGGAAAUAAGGAAAUUUGGGGAAAUGGGGUGAAUGUCAGGUGGAUCAGAGAGAUACAGUCAUGGGGGUCAGGUGUGGUAUCCAGAAUAAUGUGAGAGGCCGGAUUGAAGUCCAGGGCAGGAACAAUGAUAAUUGUAGGACUUAACAAAGAGUGAGAACAGCUGAAGGAGCUGGGUAGCAGAAAGUAUAUGCGUCAGGUAUGAGGAAGAAAAUAGAUUUUGGAAGUUAUGAGAAAUGUAGAGAGUGAGUUGAGCAUAGUUUGUGAUUUUGAGGGCCUCUAAAACUAUUAAAGCAGCGGCAGCCGCUGCACGCAGACAUGAGGGCUAGGAUAAAACAGUAAGGUCAAGUUGUUUGCACAGAAACACUACAGGGUGCAGUCCUGGCUCUUGUGUAAGAAUUCUGACCGCACUAACUAUGCCUAGGAAGGAAAGGAGUUGUUGUUUUGUAAGGGAUUGAGGUUUGGGAGAUUAAUCGGACAUGAUCAGCAGGGAGAGCACGUGUGUUUUUAUGAGAAUUAUGGCGAGAUAGGUAACAGAUGAGGAUGAAAUUUGGGCUUGACUGAAGUAAUGGGGGCUGUCUAUGAAGCCUUGCGGCAGUACAGCCUAGGUAAUUUGCAGAGCCUAAUGGGUGUCAGGGUCAGUCUAAGUGAAAGCGAAGAGAGGCUGGGACGAGGGGUGCAGGGGAAUAGUGAAAAAAGCAUCUUUAAGAUCAAGCACGGAAUAGUGAGUUGUGGAGGAAGGUAUUGAGGACAAAAGAGUGUACAGCUUGGGCACCACAGGGUGGAUAGGCAAAACAGUUUGGUUGAUAAGAUGCAGAUCCUGAACUAAUCUGUAAGACUUGUGCAGUUUUAGGAUGGGUAAAAUGGGGGAAUUAUAAGGAGAGUUUAUAGGCUUUAAAAGGCCAUGCUGUAGCAGGCCAGUGAUAACAGGCUUUAAUCUUUUUAAAGCGUGCUGCGGGAUGGGAUAUUGGCAUUUAGUGGGGUAAGGGUGAUUAGGUUUUAAUGACACGGUAAGGGGUGCAUGAUCGGUCACCAAGGAGGGAGUAGAGGUAUCUUAUACUUGUGGGUUAAGGUGGGGGGAUACAAGAGGAGGACGCAAAGGAAGCUUUGGAUUGGGAAGAAAGGCGGCAAUGAGAUACAGCUGUAGUCCAGGAACAGUCAGGGAAGCAGAUAAUUUAGUUAAAGUGUCUCAGCCUAAUAAGGGAACUGGGCAGGUGGGGAUAACUAAAAAGGAGUGCUUAAAAGAGUAUUGUCUAAGUUGGCACUAGAUUUGGGGAGUUUUAAGAGGUUUAGAAGCCUGGCCGUCAAUACCUAGAACAGUUAUGGAGGCAAGGGAAACAGACCCUUGAAAAGAAGGUAAUGUGGAGUGGGUAGCCUCUGUAUUGAUUAAGAAGGGGACGGGCUUACCUUCCACUGUGAGAGUUACCCAAAGCUCGGCGUCCCUGAUGGUCUACGGGGCUUCCGAGGCGACCGGGCAGCGUCAGUCUUCAGCCGCUAAGCCGAGAAGGAGUCAGUCAGAGAGUCUUGGGCCAGAGUUCCAGGGGCUCCGGGAGUGGCUGCCAGGCUUUUAAUAUCUGUAAGAUUUGUAAAGAUCUCUCCUUUGUUCACUCCUGGUAUUGGGGUGUGCAGGUUGGAGAAAGUCAUUCCUUCAGACUGGAGAGAAGACUGGCAAUAACACAGCAGACAAAUAAGAACCUUCAAUUUUCAAGAAACCAGUGCAGCACCGACUAGCCACUAUUGCUAUAAUCUUCACUUCCGUUUUGUAAAAUGUCAUUUUUUAAAGAAAUAAAACAUGAGAUUGACUCUAAUCUUCUAGGCUUAUUAAUUUAAUUUCAGCAAAAGGUAAACGCUAACUGUUUUGCAAGAAUUUUUCACAGAUGAUUUCCAACAUGAGUCUUUAGGAGUUAAUUUUUACUAGCAAGUGAAACAGAAUUAAU
rnacentral:lncRNA from 10 species